GGGCCCAUAGCUCAGCUUGGACAGAGCAACUGCCUUCUAAGCAGGAGGUCGGGGGUUCAAAUCCCCCUGGGCCCG
rnacentral:tRNA from 2 species